rnacentral:rRNA from 1 species
AGAAUCAACGCUGGCGGCGUGCCUAACACAUGCAAGUCGAACGAGAAAGUGGAGCAAUCCAUGAGUAAAGUGGCGACCGGGUGAGUAACACGUGACUACCUACCCUUGAGUGGGGGAUAACCUCGGGAAACCGAGGCUAAUACCGCAUAAUAUCGAAAGGUCAAAGGAGUAAUCCGCUUUUGGAGGGGUCGCGGCUGAUUAGCUAGUUGGUAGGGUAAUGGCCUACCAAGGCGAAGAUCGGUAU